UGGAUCCAGACUUUGAUCAUGGCUCAGGAUGAACGCUAGCUACAGGCUUAACACAUGCAAGUCGAGGGGAAACGAUAUUGGAAGCUUGCUUCCGAUAGGCGUCGACCGGCGCACGGGUGAGUAACGCGUAUCCAACCUGCCCAUCACUUGGGGAUAACCUUGCGAAAGUAAGACUAAUACCCAAUGAUAUCUCAAGAAGACAUCUGAAUGAGAUUAAAGAUUUAUCGGUGAUGGAUGGGGAUGCGUCUGAUUAGCUUGUUGGCGGGGUAACGGCCCACCAAGGCGACGAUCAGUAGGGGUUCUGAGAGGAAGGUCCCCCACAUUGGAACUGAGACACGGUCCAAACUCCUACGGGAGGCAGCAGUGAGGAAUAUUGGUCAAUGGGCGAGAGCCUGAACCAGCCAAGUAGCGUGCAGGAUGACGGCCCUAUGGGUUGUAAACUGCUUUUAUAAGGGAAUAAAGUGAGUCUCGUGAGGCUUUUUGCAUGUACCUUAUGAAUAAGGACCGGCUAAUUCCGUGCCAGCAGCCGCGGUAAUACGGAAGGUCCGGGCGUUAUCCGGAUUUAUUGGGUUUAAAGGGAGCGUAGGCCGGAGAUUAAGCGUGUUGUGAAAUGUAGAUGCUCAACAUCUGCACUGCAGCGCGAACUGGUUUCCUUGAGUACGCACAAAGUGGGCGGAAUUCGUGGUGUAGCGGUGAGAUGCUUAGAUAUCACGAAGAACUCCGAUUGCGAAGGCAGCUCACUGGAGCGCAACUGACGCUGAAGCUCGAAAGUGCGGGUAUCGAACUAGGAUUAGAUACCCUGGUAGUCCGCACGGUAAACGAUGGAUGCCCGCUGUUGG
rnacentral:rRNA from 1 species